CACAGAGCGACGCCCACGCGGCCCACAGGAGAGAUCAAGCCGACCUCUCGCUCACUUCUUCAGCUCGGCCGAUGAGAUAAAAUCGGCUUCAUCGGGGGAACGUCCCUCGUUAUUCCAGUGAGGACCUUCUGAACUCAAGGACAGACCUGGCAGGCAUCUGGCCAGCUUCCCCCAAACCGUACACUCAUCCCCCGGUCCGUCCGUCCAUACGUCCAUCCGUCCUCCUCUGCGGGCGACGCCCCCAACCGCCACUUAACGUUGGGCAGCUCCGCCAAACACGGCGAGGACAAUCCAGCAAGGUCCUCUCAUCCGGCAAGGUCUCAGGAGAUGUCCACUGAACCGAAAGUGGCCCUGUAGGUGCAGUGAGUCAGCUCCACCGCAUGGCGAGGGAGGGGCGGGCUCGUCUUGGAGGCGGGGUAAUCGCUUUAAUGAGCACGGCCCCCUAAUCGCUGCGCUAACGACGCUGAAACGAACCUCCGAGCCACCGCAGACCUUUAACACAAGGCGUUACCGCGGCGACCGAUGAGCGGCACGAAAAGGCCGCCGCCCCGAUGAAGGUUCCUCCGGGGGACACGGACUCCGUAUGGGGGGACACACACACACACACACCGCAUGUACC
rnacentral:lncRNA from 1 species